GAUGAACGCUGGCGGCGUGCCUAAUACAUGCAAGUCGAGCGAACAGACGAGGAGCUUGCUCCUCUGACGUUAGCGGCGGACGGGUGAGUAACACGUGGAUAACCUACCUAUAAGACUGGGAUAACUUCGGGAAACCGGAGCUAAUACCGGAUAAUAUAUUGAACCGCAUGGUUCAGUAGUGAAAGACGGUUUUGCUGUCACUUAUAGAUGGAUCCGCGCCGCAUUAGCUAGUUGGUAAGGUAACGGCUUACCAAGGCAACGAUGGGUAGCCGACCUGAGAGGGUGAUCGGCCACACUGGAACUGAGACACGGUCCAGACUCCUACGGGAGGCAGCAGUAGGGAAUCGUCCGCAAUGGGCGAAAGCCUGACGGAGCAGCGCCGCGUGAGUGAUGAAGGUCUUCGGAUCGUAAAACUCUGUUAUUAGGGAAGAACAAAUGUGUAAGUAACUAUGCACGUCUUGACGGUACCUAAUCAGAAAGCCACGGCUAACUACGUG
rnacentral:rRNA from 1 species